AGGAACUGGCUGGAAGAUGGGGUGUGUGUGCGUAUAUGGGAGCGAGGAAAGCGCUGUAGGAAGCAUGCAGGCCGCUUUAUUUUACAGCUGUGGGAGUGGUGGACAAGGGCGGCGGCUCUGCGAGAAGCACGUGGGCGCGGCGGGCCGCCUCAGGGAUGGAGUAGGCUGUGGUCUUGCCAACUCCCGUUAUCAAAGGCCCAAGGACGCCAUUCACUCAGCCCCGGGCGGGCGUGGGUCUGGGGGCCGGAAACCCGAAGUCCUGUGGGUGCCGUGGAAUGCACGAGCAGCCGGCGGAGCAAACCUGCCCCAUAGAUUUUUCUAAACCGUUCGCCACAGAAACGCUACUCUGUCUUCUCUGACCGACUCUGUGCACUGCAGCCUUGCACAAAGAAAACAGGAGAAAACCAAAUACAGCAAGAAUGAGAGAAAUUGCACUGUUGCAUUAAAAAGAAUUUUCCUGCCGGGCGCAGUGACUCACGCCUGUAAUCUCAGCACUUGGGGAGGCCGAGGCGGGUGGAUCACGAGGUCAAGAGAUCAAGACCAUCCUCGCCAACAUGGUGAAACCCCGUCUCUACUAAAAAUACAAAAAAUUA
rnacentral:lncRNA from 10 species